rnacentral:rRNA from 1 species
CGCCUCUUGACAAAAUAUAAGAGGUCCAGCCUGCCCAGUGACAAAGUUAAACGGCCGCGGUACCCUAACCGUGCGAAGGUAGCGCAAUCACUUGUUCUUUAAAUGAGGACUAGUAUGAAUGGCAUCACGAGGGUUGCACUGUCUCCCCUUUUUAAUCAAUGAAACUGACCCCCCCGUGAAGAGGCGGGGAUAUAACUAUAAGACGAGAAGACCCCAUGGAGCUUUAAACUCAGUAUCAACCGCCUAACAACACAUCAUUACAAUUUGGCCGAUCUGAUUACUAGUUUUCGGUUGGGGUGACCGCGGAGUAAAACAAAACCUCCACGAUGAAAGGACCUAUACUCCUAAUCAUAGAGCCACAGCUCAAAGAAUCAAAAAACUGACAUAAAUUGAUCCAAUUAAUUUGAUCAACGAACCAAGUUACCCUGGGGAUAACAGCGCAAUCCACUUCAAGAGCCCCUAUCGACAAGUGGGUUUACGACCUCGAUGUUGGAUCAGGGUAUCCCAGUGGUGCAGCCGCUACUAAAGGUUCGUUUGUUCAACGAUUAAAACCCU